UUUAUGGAGAGUUUGAUCCUGGCUCAGAGUGAACGCUGGCGGCGUGCUUAACACAUGCAAGUCGAACGAGAACGGAUUAUAGCUUGCUAUAAUUGUCAGCUAAGUGGCGCACGGGUGAGUAAUGUAUAGGUAAUAUGCCUCUUACUAAGGGAUAACAAUUGGAAACGAUUGCUAAUACCUUAUACUCCUUAUUAACCUAAGUUAAUAAGGGAAAGAUUU
rnacentral:rRNA from 1 species